GUUUUUUUUUUUUUUUUUUUUUUUUUUUUUCUCA
rnacentral:ribozyme from 1 species